UACGUAGGCAGCAAGCGUUGUUCGGAGUUACUGGGCGUAAAGGGUGCGUAGGCGGGUCUUUAAGUCAGGGGUGAAAUCCCGGAGCUCAACUUCGGAACUGCCUCUGAUACAGCACGUCUUGAGUCCGGAAGAGGUGGGUGGAAUUCCUAGUGUAGAGGUGAAAUUCGUAGAUAUUAGGAAGAACACCGGUGGCGAAGGCGGCCCACUGGUCCGGUACUGACGCUGAGGUGCGAAAGCGUGGGGAGCAAACAGG
rnacentral:rRNA from 1 species